rnacentral:rRNA from 1 species
AAGCACCGGCUAACUCCGUGCCAGCAGCCGCGGUAAUACGGAGGGUGCGAGCGUUAAUCGGAAUUACUGGGCGUUAAAGCGCAUGCAGGUGGUUUGUUAAGUCAGAUGUGAAAGCCCGGGGCUCAACCUCGGAAUUGCAUUUGAAACUGGCAAACUAGAGUACUGUAGAGGGGGUAGAAUUUCAGGUGUAGCGGUGAAAAUGCGUAGAGAUCUGAAGGAAUACCGGUGGCGAAGGCGGCCCCCUGGACAGAUACUGACACUCAGAUGCGAAAGCGUGGGGAGCAAACAGGAUUAGAUACCCUGGUAG